rnacentral:rRNA from 1 species
AUACGGAGGGUGCAAGCGUUACUCGGAAUCACUGGGCGUAAAGCGCGCGCAGGCGGUCUUUUAAGUUGGAUGUGAAAGCCUACGGCUCAACCGUAGAACUGCAUCCAAAACUAUUAGACUAGAGUGUGGGAGAGGAAGAUUGAAUUAGUUGUGUAGGGGUAAAAUCCGUAGAGAUAACUAGGAAUACCAAAAGCGAAGGCAAUCUUCUGGAACACUACUGACGCUGAGGCGCGAAAGCGUGGGGAGCAAACAGGAUUAGAAACCCGAGUAGUCC